GGGGACCAUCCUCCAAGGCUAAAUACUCCUGACUGACCGAUAGUGAACCAGUACCGUGAGGGAAAGGCGAAAAGAACCCCGGCGAGGGGAGUGAAAAAGAACCUGAAACCGUGUACGUACAAGCAGUGGGAGCACAGGUUUACCUGUGUGACUGCGUACCUUUUGUAUAAUGGGUCAGCGACUUAUAUUCUGUAGCAAGGUUAACCGAAUAGGGGAGCCGGAGGGAAACCGAGUCUUAACCGGGCGUUAAGUUGCAGGGUAUAGACCCGAAACCCGGUGAUCUAGCCAUGGGCAGGUUGAAGGUUGGGUAACACUAACUGGAGGACCGAACCGACUAAUGUUGAAAAAUUAGCGGAUGACCUGUGGCUGGGGGUGAAAGGCCAAUCAAACCGGGAGAUAGCUGGUUCUCCCCGAAAGCUAUUUAGGUAGCGCCUCGUGAAUUCAUCUCCGGGGGUAGAGCACUGUUUCGGCUAGGGGGCCAUCCCGGCUUACCAACCCGAUGCAAACUGCGAAUACCGGAGAAUGUUAUCACGGGAGACACACGGCGGGUGCUAACGUCCGUCGUGAAGAGGGAAACAACCCAGACCGCCAGCUAAGGUCCCAAAGUCAUGGUUAAGUGGGAAACGAUGUGGGAAGGCCCAGACAGCCAGGAUGUUGGCUUAGAAGCAGCCAUCAUUUAAAGAAAGCGUAAUAGCUCACUGGUCGAGUCGGCCUGCGCGGAAGAUGUAACGGGGCUAAACC
rnacentral:rRNA from 1 species